rnacentral:rRNA from 1 species
UGGGGAAUAUUGCACAAUGGGCGCAAGCCUGAUGCAGCCAUGCCGCGUGUGUGAAGAAGGCCUUCGGGUUGUAAAGCACUUUCAGCGGGGAGGAAGGCGAUAAGGUUAAUAACCUUGUCGAUUGACGUUACCCGCAGAAGAAGCACCGGCUAACUCCGUGCCAGCAGCCGCGGUAAUACGGAGGGUGCAAGCGUUAAUCGGAAUUACUGGGCGUAAAGCGCACGCAGGCGGUCUGUCAAGUCGGAUGUGAAAUCCCCGGGCUUAACCUGGGAACUGCAUUCGAAACUGGCAGGCUAGAGUCUUGUAGAGGGGGGUAGAAUUCCAGGUGUAGCGGUGAAAUGCGUAGAGAUCUGGAGGAAUACCGGUGGCGAAGGUGGCCCCCUGGACAAAGACUGACGCUCGGGUGCGAAAGCGUGGGGAGCAAACAGG